rnacentral:rRNA from 1 species
AUUGAACGCUGGCGGCAUGCCUUACACAUGCAAGUCGAACGGCAGCGGACCUUCGGGUGCCGGCGAGUGGCGAACGGGUGAGUAAUAUAUCGGAACGUACCUUUCAGUGGGGGAUAACGUAGCGAAAGUUACGCCAAUACCGCAUAUUCUGUGAGCAGGAAAGCAGGGGAUCGCAAGACCUUGCGCUGAUUGAGCGGCCGAUAUCAGAUUAGCUAGUUGGUGAGGUAAAGGCUCACCAAGGCGACGAUCUGUAGCGGGUCUGAGAGGAUGAUCCGCCACACUGGAACUGAGACACGGUCCAGACUCCUACGGGAGGCAGCAGUGGGGAAUUUUGGACAAUGGGCGCAAGCCUGAUCCAGCCAUGCCGCGUGAGUGAAGAAGGCC